rnacentral:rRNA from 1 species
GGCAGGCUUAACACAUGCAAGUCGAGGGGCUUUUGGGGAGGAAGCUUGCUUUCUCCGCCGGCGACCGGCGCACGGGUGAGUAACACGUAUGCAACCUGCCCCUGUCAGGGGGACAACCCGCCGAAAGGCGGGCUAAACCCGCGUACAUGCCACCGGGGCAUCCCGGAGGCAGGAAAGGCUUCGGCCGGACAGGGAUGGGCAUGCGGCGCAUUAGGCAGUAGGCGGGGUAACGGCCCACCUAACCGACGAUGCGUAGGGGUUCUGAGAGGAAGGUCCCCCACACUGGUACUGAGACACGGACCAGACUCCUACGGGAGGCAGCAGUGAGGAAUAUUGGUCAAUGGUCGGGAGACUGAACCAGCCAAGCCGCGUGAGGGAGGAAGGUACAGAGUAUCGUAAACCUCUUUUGUCAGGGAACAAAAGCGGGGACGUGUCCCCGGAUGAGUGUACCUGAAGAAAAAGCAUCGGCUAACUCCGUGCCCAGCAGCCGCGGUAAUACGGGGGAAGCGAAGCGUUUCCCGGAUUUUUUGGGGUUAAAGGGGGGGCAGGGCGGUCGGUUUAGUUAAGCGGUCCAAAGCCCGGGGCUCAACCCCCGCCCCCCCGUUGAACCUGGCAGUCUCGAGUUGGAGAGAAAGUAUCGGAAAUGCGCGGUGUAGCGGGUGAAAUGCAUAGAUAUCGCGCAGAACUCCGAUUGCGAAGGCAGCAUGCCGGCUCCACACUGACGCUGAGGCACGAAAGCGUGGGUAUCGAACAGGAUUAGAUACCCUGGUAGUCCACGCAGUAAACGAUGAAUGCUGGCUGUCCGGGGGGAUUGACCCCUGGGUGGCGAAGCGAAAGCGAUAAGCAUUCCACCUGGGGAGUACGCCGGCAACGGUGAAACUCAAAGGAAUUGACGGGGGCCCGCACAAGCGGAGGAACAUGUGGUUUAAUUCGAUGAUACGCGAGGAACCUUACCCGGGCUCAAACGGGGAGUGACUCAGGCAGAGACGCCUGUUUCCCACGGGACACUCCCCGAGGUGCUGCAUGGUUGUCGUCAGCUCGUGCCGUGAGGUGUCGGCUUAAGUGCCAUAACGAGCGCAACCCCCGCGUGCAGUUGCUAACAGAUAACGCUGAGGACUCUGCACGGACUGCCGGCGCAAGCCGCGAGGAAGGCGGGGAUGACGUCAAAUCAGCACGGCCCUUACGUCCGGGGCGACACACGUGUUACAAUGGGUGGUACAGCGGGAAGCCAGGCGGCGACGCCGAGCGGAACCCGAAAUCCACUCUCAGUUCGGAUCGGAGUCUGCAACCCGACUCCGUGAAGCUGGAUUCGCUAGUAAUCGCGCAUCAGCCAUGGCGCGGUGAAUACGUUCCCGG